rnacentral:rRNA from 1 species
UACGUAGGGCGCAAGCGUUAUCCGGAAUUAUUGGGCGUAAAGAGCUCGUAGGCGGUUUGUCGCGUCUGCCGUGAAAAGUCCGGGGCUCAACUCCGGAUCUGCGGUGGGUACGGGCAGACUAGAGUGAUGUAGGGGGAGACUGGAAUUCCUGGUGUAGCGGUGAAAUGCGCAGAUAUCAGGAGGAACACCGAUGGCGAAGGCAGGUCUCUGGGCAUUAACUGACGCUGAGGAGCGAAAGCGUGGGGAGCGAACAGG